rnacentral:rRNA from 1 species
AGCGUUGUUCGGAUUCAUUGGGCGUAAAGGGUGUGUAGGUGGCGCGGUAAGUCGGGUGUGAAAUCUCGGAGCUUAACUCCGAAACUGCAUUCGAUACUGCCGUGCUUGAGGACUGGAGAGGAGACUGGAAUUUACGGUGUAGCGGUGAAAUGCGUAGAUAUCGUAAGGAAGACCAGUGGCGAAGGCGGGUCUCUGGACAGUUCCUGACGCUGAGGCACGAAGGCCAGGGGAGCAAACGGG